rnacentral:rRNA from 1 species
GACGAACGCUGGCGGCGUGCUUAACACAUGCAAGUCGAACGGUGAAGCCCUUCGGGGUGGAUCAGUGGCGAACGGGUGAGUAACACGUGAGCAACCUGCCCCUGGCUCUGGGACAACCACUGGAAGCGGUGGCUAAUACCGGAUACGACCCGCCUCGGCAUCGAGUGUGGGUGGAAAGUUUUUCGGCUGGGGAUGGGCUCGCGGCCUAUCAGCUUGUUGGUGAGGUGAAGGCUCACCAAGGCGACGACGGGUAGCCGGCCUGAGAGGGCGACCGGCCACACUGGGACUGAGACACGGCCCAGACUCCUACGGGAGGCAGCAGUGGGGAAUAUUGCACAAUGGGCGAAAGCCUGAUGCAGCGACGCCGCGUGAGGGAUGACGGCCUUCGGGUUGUAAACCUCUUUCAGCUCCGAAGAAGCGAAAGUGACGGUAGGAGCAGAAGAAGCACCGGCUAACUACGUG